rnacentral:misc_RNA from 1 species
GGGGAAAUAAAAAUCAUAAUCUUAUUAAGGAAGUAGUCCAGUAGACAUCAAGCCAAAAUAAGCUUACACAAAUUAACAAUCACAUAAGACAACUGCAGGAGCCAUGCAUAUAUAUAAUCUGAUUCUUAAGCACACAAAACCCUACUGAAGGUGUGAUCACAUAGACUAACAAUGCUUAGUGCAGAAGCAUCGACGGCGUAGCCCUCGGCAGUGUCCUCCAUGGAAACCUUCUGUUUGGCAAACGGCAGCACAGUUGCUGUGCCUCAUGCACAUACCCUUGAAGCGAUGGCUCUGAGACUCGCAUUUCCUGGCCUCAGCCACCAUUGGCCCCAUCUCAGUGGCCACAAGCAGCAAAAGGAGGAGCAAAACAGCCGAGAAUAGACGGAAUGGAGUCUUCAUCAUCUUACACACAGACAGAGAGAAG